GCCUGGGUGGCUCAGUCGGUUGAGCGUCUGACUUCAGCUCAGGUCAUGAUCUCGUUGUCCGUGAGUUCAAGCCCCUUGUUGGGCU
rnacentral:tRNA from 1 species